rnacentral:tRNA from 1 species
GCUGGUGUAGCUUAACUAAAGCAUAACACUGAAGAUGUUAAGAUGGGCCCUAGGAAGCCCCACGAGCA